rnacentral:rRNA from 1 species
UAACCAAAACGACUCUCGGCAACGGAUAUCUCGGCUCUCGCAUCGAUGAAGAACGCAGCGAAAUGCGAUACUUGGUGUGAAUUGCAGAAUCCCGCGAACCAUCGAGUCUUUGAACGCAAGUUGCGCCCGAAGCCUUUCGGCCGAGGGCACGUCUGCCUGGGUGUCACGC